rnacentral:rRNA from 1 species
AUAAGAGGUCCAGCCUGCCCAGUGACAAAAUUUAACGGCCGCGGUACCCUAACCGUGCAAAGGUAGCAUAAUCACUUGUUCCUUAAAUAGGGACUAGCAUCAAUGGCACCACGAAGACUGUACUGUCUCUUUUCUCUAAUCAGUGAAACUGAUCUCCCCGUGAAAAAGCGGGAAUAAGUUUAUAAGACGAGAAGACCCCAUGGAGCUUUAAGUAACGUAUUCACCUAGACUUUACUACACCAACUAAACAUUUAUAGCCCUGAUUACUAACCUUAGGUUGGGAGGACCGCGGAGUAUAACCAAACCUCCAUAACAAAAAGGCAGCACCUUUAUCCACGAGCUACAACUCUAAGAAUUAAAAUAUAAAUGUCCAAUGACCCGACAAUUCGAUCAAUGAACCAAGUUACCCUGGGGAUAACAGCACAAUCUGCUUAAAGAGCCCAUAUCGACAAGCAGGUUUAUGACCUCGAUGUUGGAUCAGGGUAUCCCAGUGGUGCAGCCGCUACUACAGGUUUGUUUGUUCAACAAUUAAAACCCUAC